rnacentral:rRNA from 1 species
UACGGAGGAUGCGAGCGUUAUCCGGAUUUAUUGGGUUUAAAGGGUGCGCAGGCGGCACGGCAAGCCGGCGGUCAAAUCGCGGGGCUCAACCCCGCCCAGCCGUCGGAACUGCCGGGCUAGAGUGGGCGAGAAGUGCGCGGAAUGCGUGGUGUAGCGGUGAAAUGCGUAGAUAUUAGGAGGAACACCAGUGGCGAAGGCGGUCUGCUGGACAGCAACUGACGCUGAGGCGCGAAAGCGUGGGGAGCAAACAGG